UUGUACUUAAGGGUGGCCUAGAAAGGAUA
rnacentral:piRNA from 1 species